AGCGAACGCUGGCGGCGUGCCUAACACAUGCAAGUCGAACGUGAACGGGGGGCAACCCCUAGUAAAGUGGCGUACGGGUGAGUAACACGUAGGUAAUCUACCCAAAAGUCUGGAAUAACCGGCCGAAAGGCUGGCUAAUACUGGAUAGAGCGACGAAACUCGUAGAGAGUUUUUCGGGAAAGGGAGCUCGUUAAGGGCCCUUGCUUUUGGAUGAGCCUGCGUCCCAUUAGUUAGUUGGUGGGGUAAUGGCCUACCAAGACGAUGAUGGGUAGCUGGUCUGAGAGGAUGAUCAGCCACACUGGAACUAGAAACACGGUCCAGACU
rnacentral:rRNA from 1 species